GAUGAAGAACGCAGCGAAAUGCGAUAAGUAAUGUGAAUUGCAGAAUUCUGUGAAUCAUCGAAUCUUUGAACGCACAUUGCGCCCACCAGUAUUCUGGCGGGCAUGCCUGUUCGAGCGUCAUUACAACCCUCAAGCCCCCCGGCUUGGUGUUGGGGACCGGCCACCGGUGCCCUGCUGCUUCCGCGGCAGGCGCACCCGGCCGCCCCCGAAAUGAAUUGGCGGCCCCGUCGCGGCCUCCCUCUGCGUAGUAGCACACAUCUCGCAGCUGGAGCGCGGCGCGGCCACUGCCGUAAAACGCACCAACUUUUUUUACAGUUGACCUCGAAUCAGGUAGGAAUACCCGCUGAACUUAAGCAUAUCAAUAAGCGGAGGA
rnacentral:misc_RNA from 1 species